GACGAACGCUGGCGGCGUGCUUAACACAUGCAAGUCGAACGGAAAGGCCCUGCUUUUGUUGGGUGCUCGAGUGGCGAACGGGUGAGUAACACGUGAGUAACCUGCCCUUGACUUUGGGAUAACUUCAGGAAACUGGGGCUAAUACCGGAUAGGAGCUCCUGCUGCACGGUGGGGGUUGGAAAGUUUCGGCGGUUGUGGAUGGACUCGCGGCUUAUCCGCUUGUUGGUGGGGUAGUGGCUUACCAAGGCUUUGACGGCUAGCCGGCCUGAGAGGGUGACCGGCCACAUUGGGACUGAGAUACGGCGCAGACGCCUACGGGAGGCAGCAGUGGGGAAUAUUGCACAAUGGGCGGAAGCCUGAUGCAGCAACGCCGCGUGCGGGAUGACGGCCUUCGGGUUGUAAACCGCUUUCGCCUGUGACGAAGCGUGAGUGACGGUAAUGGGUAAAGAAGCACCGGCUAACUACGUG
rnacentral:rRNA from 1 species